GCUGAAUUACAUUGCCUGGGAGAAGCAUCCUUCCACCAACCCAUACCCUGGCUACUGUGGGACUCUGUUAGCAAGCACGGGAUAUCUGAAAUGGAAAGAUUUUAGCUGUGGUUCGUUGCUACCUUAUAUCUGCAAGUUCAAGGACUAGGUCUGGUGGGACGUCAGGAGCCUGAGUUUUGCGUGCAGCUCAUCAUGGACAUGGAACCAAGUGUGACAAUACACCCUAGAAGGGAAUAGUCUCCCAUACCUUCAAAGUUGACCACCUCACUUGACCUAACCUUCUCCUCAGCCCCUUCUCCUCCGCCUCAUUUCAAACUCUACUGUAUCUUCUAUAUAAUGAGAUUCAACAGGCAAAAUAAAAAAAUAAGAAAUUUGGUCAGCAA